CUUAGUCCUCAGUAGAGCAGAGAAAAUGACGCCGCGCCACUGUGAAUGUCCAAAAGCUCGCGAAAAAGCAAAAGAGAGCAAAAAUGUCGAAGCUCGGUUUUCUCCGCGCCGUAAUCACGUCAAACCUCGCCAUACGUAGGGCCGUGCCGCAGAACCGCGGCCUCUCUAUGCUUCUCGGCGAACCGAGGAGGCGGUUCUCGACAAAAGCCGAAAACCCGCCUCAGAACUCCCCGCCGUCUGAUCAGCCGCAUGAUGCUUCACCGAUCGAACCUUUUCUCCAAACCCCAACCACAGGUUUGGUGUAUGGGAAGCUGCUUGGAAUCUCGAGCUAUACGCUGAAGACCGAUGUGAUGAAUACGCUGGAGGGCUGUAAUUUGAGCCUGGAGGAUGUCAAAGUUGAUUAAAAUCGGGCCUUCACGCCGAUGGGAAAGGUCAUGCAAUUCCAGUGAUUGCAAGCUUUUGAUAAUGCUGCUAGGGUGAUUUCCAGGAAGGGCCGCCUGUAUAAAUUGGAGAGGUUAAUGAUGUCAUGGAUGCUUGAUUGGAUAUAAUUGUUGCGCACGUAUUUUGUGUCGUAGUGUGCUGAUGGUAGGUUUGUGAAUGACUGGCUAACCGAUCGCAGUGGGACAAUCUUACUCCCCAUGAUGCAAAAACUGUAAGUCAAGGUUUUCUAUUGCAUGCUUAUUAUUAUUUUUAAUGAAAUGUUUGAUCAAAUUGGUCGUGUUUGGAGUUACUCUUCAAUCAACAAAAUCUCUUGCUAUGUAGAAUGGACUAAGUAGUAAGAGAAGAUUGAUGAAUAUUUGGCUUUCGAUGCUGAACCUAAUGAAUUUAAAUUCUUCUGUAAGGCAAUAUAUGCCAUAGGCAGUUUGACACUCUAAACAGUUGAAGUAGGUUUUUUAUCUGGAUAACACAUAAAUAUUACCUGGGUAGAGUUGCUUCUUCUUGAAAACGGAAUCACUGGAACUACCAUGUGACAACGUAGUGAAUUUUUGUUUUAGUAAGUUUGCAUGCACCU